rnacentral:lncRNA from 1 species
GCAACUAUUAAUUGUCUCUGCCAUCAAUAAACAAAAUGCAUUACUGUAUUCUUAUGUUCCUAUCUAUUAAAAAUACCUUUGAAAAUUAAGUAGGAUAUAAUAGAAUUAUUAAUAUAUUAUUUCUUGAAUUUAAUGGCUUUAACUCAAUUUGUCUUUGACAACUGAUCUGAUUGUCCACUAGAUUGAUUGCUAAGUUGACCGUUCACCCUGUGCUGGGUCAGAGUCCAUUUAUUUUGUCAUAAAUGGAUAUGGAGUAAGACAGAUGGACACUUACUUCCAAGGUUCUUUAUUUCUUGCAUAGGAUCAAAUUGACAUUAGGAAAAGUUUUCAGUCAAGAAAAAGAAUAAAAUGCCUCAAAUACUCUAGUAGAAGUAGCAAAAUUUUCCUUGAAUUCCAUUCACUUCCAAGAUUUGUGCAUUGCAGAACCAUAUACACGUCAUGUGGUAUUCUCAUGAAGGCAAAGUAUGAUCAUUGGAGACUUACUCACCACUAAAUGUGUUGUGUCCCAGAGGAAAAUAAAGAGGGAAGCUGUUGCAUACAAAUUACGUGGACAGAGAGAAAUGCUGUAUUUUAGGGUGCUGAUGACAGGUUGGGUUUCCCUUCAACUGGAAGACGUCUCACGAAGGUGAAGUGAGAUUUUCUAGUUUUCUUCAAGGUUUUUCCCUCUACAUAGAAAGGAAAUUUGAAUAGAACUUAGUAUCAC